AGAUGGCGUCUGGCAAAGUAUAUUGAAUCAUGUAAAGUUGCAUCAAAAGUCAUGUCUAAUAAAGUUAAGACAGGGAUCUUUAUCGGGGGAUUUGUAGCAUUCACUCUUGCCGCGUUAUAUCCUGCUGUGAUCUAUCCAAAAUUGCACCCAGAGGUUUUCCAGCAAAUUCAGAAUGAAACAAGAAAAGAUAUAAAACAGGAAGAGAUUCAACCUGGAAAUAUGAAGGUCUGGUCUGAUCCAUUUUCAAGAAAAUAAAUCAAAAGAAGAUGUUACAAAAAGACCUACUUUCAACUGCUUUCGGAGAAGAGGAACAGAGAGUGGAAAAGAAUGCAAAGGGCACCUCUAGAUAUGUUCUGUGAAAGAAUUUUGUUGUGACCAGACCCCUGUUAUCAGGAACAACAUUCAGUGAUGUAAUGUGACUCGACAAUAAUAAAAAAAAAAAAGAAUUUUGCAACAGACAUGUAAUCUUUGAGUUUUAAAUUACUUGCAUAAAAAUAAGGCAGAUGAUUUUACAGUCUGGCAAACAGUUCAUGGCAAAAAGUAAUCUGUACUUUAAGGGGCUUAUUCAGGGGUGGCACUUAUUCAACAAAAUUCAUCACUCCCUUGUAUUCAUAAUUGUACUUUUCCUUGAAUGUUGGAGAUUCCACAUUAAUUUUGUGGCAAAGAUUGCUACAACAUUACAGUAUUGGCAGACAGCUCACAUCAUACUGUUAUAAAACACUUUAUUUGCAGAAGUUUUGUCUUAAAAUAACUACUAAAACCCAAUAUUAUUGCAACUGCUUCUAAGCUUGGUUUAUAUUAUUCCU